CAGUAGCCGCGGUAAUACAGAGGCCUCAAGCGUUGUUCGGAUUCAUUGGGCGUAAAGGGAGCGUAGGCGGUCGGGUAAGUCGGAUGUGAAAUCCUGGGGCUCAACCUCAGAACUGCAUUCGAUACUGCUUGGCUAGAGGACUGGAGAGGUGAGUGGAAUUCACGGUGUAGCAGUGAAAUGCGUAGAUAUCGUGAGGAAGACCAGCGGCGAAGGCGGCUCACUGGACAGUUUCUGACGCUGAUGCUCGAAGGCCAGGGGAGCAAACGGGAUUAGAUACCCGCGUAGUCCCUGUCUCUUAUAC
rnacentral:rRNA from 1 species